rfam:Methylobacterium sp. Leaf456 contig_2, whole genome shotgun sequence.
CGGCGGGACACCUCCCCCCAACGGGAGGCGCUCAUCUGGAAGGAUGGAUGAC